rnacentral:rRNA from 1 species
UACGUAGGGGGCAAGCGUUGUCCGGAAUCAUUGGGCGUAAAGCGCGUGUAGGCGGCCAGAAAAGUCCGCUGUGAAAACUCGAGGCUCAACCUCGAGCUGUCGGUGGAAACUUUCUGGCUAGAGUCCGGAAGAGGAGACUGGAAUUCCUGGUGUAGCGGUGAAAUGCGCAGAUAUCAGAGGAACACCGAUGGCGAAGGCAGGUCUCUGGGCAUUAACUGACGCUGAGGAGCGAAAGCAUGGGGAGCGAACAGG